rnacentral:rRNA from 1 species
GCCCUAACACCAAGCCAAAAUCGGAGCCGCGUCUGAAUUUGAUGCUUGCAUUAAUGAAAGAUGAGCGGCGGACGGGUGAGUAACGCGUGGGUAACCUGCCCUAUACACAUGGAUAACAUACUGAAAAGUUUACUAAUACAUGAUAAUAUAUAUUUACGGCAUCGUAGAUAUAUCAAAGUGUUAGCGGUAUAGGAUGGACCCGCGUCUGAUUAGCUAGUUGGUGAGAUAACUGCCCACCAAGGCGACGAUCAGUAGCCGACCUGAGAGGGUGAUCGGCCACAUUGGAACUGAGACACGGUCCAAACUCCUACGGGAGGCAGCAGUGGGGAAUAUUGCACAAUGGGCGCAAGCCUGAUGCAGCAACGCCGCGUGAACGAUGAAGGUCUUCGGAUCGUAAAGUUCUGUUGCAGGGGAAGAUAAUGACGGUACCCUGUGAGGAAGCCCCGGCUAACUACGUGCCAGCAGCCGCGGUAAUACGUAGGGGGCUAGCGUUAUCCGGAUUUACUGGGCGUAAAGGGUGCGUAGGUGGUCUUUCAAGUCGGUGGUUAAAGGCUACGGCUCAACCGUAGUUAGCCUCCGAAACUGGAAGACUUGAGUGCAGGAGAGGAAAGUGGAAUUCCCAGUGUAGCGGUGAAAUGCGUAGAUAUUGGGAGGAACACCAGUAGCGAAGGCGGCUUUCUGGACUGCAACUGACACUGAGGCACGAAAGCGUGGGUAGCAAACAGGAUUAGAUACCCUGGUAGUCCACGCUGUAAACGAUGAGUACUAGGUGUCGGGGGUUACCCCCCUCGGUGCCGCAGCUAACGCAUUAAGUACUCCGCCUGGGGAGUACGCACGC